CUCUUCUUACGCUGACUCGCUUCCUUCUCACACGCUGCGACCAACGUCGCUCCCGCUCGUGCCCAUGUCCUUUGGCCGUGCACAUAUGGCCGUCCCCCUCAGCACAGGGACUGAGAGGGGGAAGCCAUUAUCAUGGCUCCUUCGGAAACUUUCAUUUUUGUUGUUUUCUUUUCUUUUCUUUACUAAGUUUAUUCAACUAUUCGCCUCGCCACACAAGGAAGACGAAUUCUGGAACAUUGUUUGUUGAACCUUUCAAAUACCGCGCGAAGAUGAACGAACACCCCUUUGCCACAAAGAACAACGUGACUCCAGGCUCACGCCAAGAUCCAGAGCAGCACACGUCGGUCUCCAGCCCACGCACAUUGGACACUUUGCAAAUCUUUUGUGGUGGAGCAGGUGACAGCAGCAUCUGUGGAAAAAACCUGAAAGAAAAAUCUAAAAGGAACUGAAUGUCUGCAGACUGCUGUGUGCACUGAGGAUGGAGAAGAUGGAGUGCCAUGGGUGAAAUGCUCCAUCACUGCAUUUCCUCUUGUUUUCUCAUCAGGACCAGAUGCUGCUGUGGUCUCUUCAUCUUCAGUGACC